rnacentral:rRNA from 1 species
UACGGAGGGUGCAAGCAUUAAUCGGAUUUAUUGGGCGUAAAGGGCGCGUAGGCGGGAAGAUAAGUCAGAUGUGAAAUCCCGGGGCUCAACCCCGGAACAGCAUUUGAAACUGUUUUUCUAGAGGCUAGAUGGAGAAAACGGAAUUCCACAAGUAGCGGUGAAAUGCGUAGAUAUGUGGAAGAACACCGGUGGCGAAGGCGGUUUUCUAAUUUAGACCUGACGCUGAGGCGCGAAAGCAAGGGGAUCAAACAGG